CAUACUUGGGGUUUCUCGUGUCAGAGGAACCACUUAACACCGAACGGUGGGCGUCUGAUUUACAUCACGGUCUCAAGGUGCGCCUGUCAUUUAGAAAUGACUCGACUCUAUCCUUCUUCCUGGCUGUAUGAUAUUCUCCUGUCCUUCUUCCUGGCCGUAUAGUACUCCGUUGCGUGUGAGCACUGCGUCUCCUGUACCCAUUUAUCUGCUGAUGGUGCUGCGUGGUUUGUAGGCGGAUGCGGUAAUCAGCAGCCCCCAUCCGGCCUGGGGAGCAGCGUUGAAAUCCGCAUUCCGCAGAGGGCUCGUUUUCCAACUGCGGGGCGGGGAAGGCAUUUUCGUGUCGAAUAACGCGCUGCUCCCUCUCCCCACAGAUGGGCAACCCCGGCCGAAGCCGCCGCCGUUUCACCCACAGCCCGGGAACCCCGGCCAUGGUGGAAGCAUCUACCCACGGAUAAAGCCGCAGCCGCCCCGGCAGCCCGGAGACGAGGACACCCACGGCGGUGGAGGACACUGGAACAACGCGGACGAAGGGUACCAGCCGCCCCGGCCCAAGCCGCCUGCAGCAGGAGGUGCAGGAGGAGGAGGAGCCGGAGGCGGCGGCUAUAACAGCUACGGGGACACGCAAGGUACUGCUUUGCAGCAUGAGGGCGCCGGGAGGGUGUGGCGGGUGUGGAGUGGGUCCCGAGUUCCCAGCCGCCCGCUGCCCCGCACCCUGAAGCUGUCGGCCAGGGACUUGGGGGCCUCUCUGUGCCGGGGUGUGAGGGGGCAGAGAAUGUAACUGGGAGCCAACAGCCCGGGACCAAGAUGCUCGGUAGGAAGAGGCCAGCCAGCCGCCUGCCUCCCUUGGGCUGGGGAGCCCGAUAGCCCGCUGGAAAAG
rnacentral:lncRNA from 1 species